GUGCUUGCUACAGUAGUACAUAUACUAAAAUUGGAACGAUAUAGAGAGGAUUAGCUUGGCUCCUGGGCAAGGAUGUCAUGCAAAAUCAUGAAUAAUUGCAUGAAUGA